GGCUAAUUUCCGCAGUGGGGUUCCUCGGGUAGCCGUAGUGCUGACGGAUGGAGAGGGCCAAGGUGAUGUCAAUAACCGGAUGAUGGAUGAUUACGCCGAGCAAGCCGAAGCGGGGAGACAGGCAGGGAUCACGCUGUACGCCGUGGCUACCGGAAUGUUCGCGUUCCUGGAUACCGCUGCACUGAACGCCAUCGCCGGGGAGCCGGGCCGGGUGCUCACCACACACUUCGGGCGUCACGGCUGCGCUCUCGCCGCCACGCUGGCGGGAGAUAUCUGCGGUGCCUCUGGAUGAUUCUUGAGGACCCCAACUCAACCCUCAUAUCGAAGAGUGGAUCUGAGACCCAGAUGGGAAAUCUGACAUCCGGAAUGCUAUUGUGAAACUAGCACGACAUGAUUCAUAAGUUUUAGUUAUAGAACGUGCAGAAUCAAAAGAUAUAUGCCUUGCGUAUGGUCUAUAGUAUAACAAUAAGUUGAAGCAAUAGACUAUUUUGAUCAUUUAAAAUUAUUUGUCCUACACACGAGUAUAUCGUUACAGGCACAGGGAAAUUUACAUCAUAUCAUAUAUACCUAUUGAUACUCUAUGUUGAUCAAUGGACACCUACUAAUCACGUUGAUUUCAAUGUAAUUGAAUUUCUCAUAUUCUCCCGAUAGCCUAAUUGUUCUUUUACAGUAGACCGGUAGUGGAAACACAACAGUUAUUCUACUCACAACUACGGAACCACCAAGUUAACGUUUUCAAUAAUUGAUACUACAUGGAAAUUUUCGAAAGUAUAGAAAUAUGUAUUAUGUAUUAUCUACAAAAUCUCUCUUGCUCUUGUAUAGCUGUAUUCUGAAAUUCUAUCAUUCUAACCAGACAUAUAAUUAAGGAGACAGUGGCAUCGGAGGAAGUCUGGCAUUACCAUUGUAUGUUUUGGCAAGACAGUUAUGUUAGAGCUCAUUAGUAUCUGACACAUACAAAUGACGCUGAGUACACCAUAAUACCGGAUUAAAAUACCUGAUGUUGUUGUUGUGGCGUUCUGGUAAAAGCCGGUAAGUGUUUACCAAAGACC